CCGCUGAAACACGAUAGCUAGGACCCAAACUGGGAUUAGAUACCCCACUAUGCCUAGCCCUAAACACAAAUAGUUGUGUAAACAAAACUAUUCGCCAGAGUACUACCGGCAAUAGCUUAAAACUCA
rnacentral:rRNA from 1 species